ACAAAAAGCAAAAAAAGAAACAAAAGACGAACGGCGAUUGCGCUGCGCUUACUUUUCGGUGAGAUAUUGCGUGGUCCAAUCGAUGAUCCCGCCGACGACUUCGACGUUGAUCAGCUUGUAACUCGCCAGCUUCACAGGCAACUCAACAUACACCUGAACAGCAGUACACUUCCGCAUAAUGGAUUUGGUGGGUCAUUUUAAAUGCGAAAAGAACGAAAAUCUCAAUAAGUUCUUGAAAGCAGCUGGUUUAUCAUUCAUAACACGAUUGUUUGUAAGAUGGUCUAAACCUACCAUGGCAGUUUUGAAGUUAGAAGAUUUAUGGUCGAUAACAGUCAGAUCCACGUUCUCAUCACGUGAAAAAUCGUUUCGAAUUGGUCAAGAAACUACAGAAUUCUUACCAGGAAAAGUUAUAAGGAGCGUAUCUUCUAUGGAAGACGGCAAACUGGUAACAAAAAUGUUAUUGAUGACAAAAUUAACACAACAACCUAUUACGAAUUUGGUCCGAACUCCCUCACAAUCAGAAUUGUUGAGGAGAAAACAGGUAUUGAAGCACGACGCAUCUUCAAAAACUUCCGACUAAAUUAUAAAUGUUCCUAGCUAUACACGCACAAUAGUAUUUCUUGAGUUUUAUGAAUUUUGAUCACUUGUGACAAUUAACAUUGCACUCAGAAUUUUUAUAACCAUUAUAAUCAUGAACAAUAAAAGUUAGUAACAUAUUCGUACGAAAA